UUGGAGGGCAAGUCUGGUGCCAGCAGCCGCGGUAAUUCCAGCUCCAAUAGCGUAUAUUAAAGUUGUUGCAGUUAAAAAGCUCGUAGUUGAAUUUCGGGGUUCUACCGUUGGUCGGGCUAUUGUCUGUACUGGCGUGUAGAAUUUCUACCUUCUGGGGAACUAUCAUGUUAUUAAUUUAGCGUGGUAGGAAACCAGGACCUUUACCUUGAAAAAAUUAGAGUGUUCAAAGCAGGCUUAUGUCUGAAUACAUUAGCAUGGAAUAAUAAAAUAGGACGGUGGUCCUGUUUUGUUGGUUUCUGAAUCACCGUAAUGAUUAAUAGGGAUAGUUGGGGGCAUUAGUAUUCAAUUGUCAGAGGUGAAACUCUUGGAUUUAUUGAAGACUAACUACUGCGAAAGCAUUUGCCAAGGAUGUUUUCAUUAAUCAAGAACGAAAGUUGGGGGAUCGAAGACGAUCAGAUACCGUCGUAGUCUUAACCAUAAACUAUGCCGACUAGGGAUCGGACGAUGUUAACUUUUCUUGACUCGUUCGGCGCCUUACGGGAAACCAAAGUGUUUGGGUUC
rnacentral:rRNA from 1 species